rnacentral:rRNA from 1 species
AACGUAGGAGGCGAACGUUAUCCGGAUUUACUGGGCGUAAAGCGCGUGUAGGUGGUUUGGUAAGUAGGACGUGAAAGCUCCCGGCUCAACUGGGAGAGGUCGUUCUGAACUGCCAGACUAGAGGAUGGUAGAGGGAGGUGGAAUUCCGGGUGUAGCGGUGGAAUGCGCAGAUAUCCGGAGGAACACCAGUGGCGAAAGCGGCCUCCUGGACCACACCUGACACUCAGACGCGAAAGCUAGGGUAGCAAACGGGAUUAGAGACCCCGGUAGUCCUAGCCGUAAACGAUGUAGACUUGACGUCGGUGGUUUAAUAUCCAUCGGUGUCGUAGCUAACGCGAUAAGUCUACCGCCUGGGGACUACGGCCGCAAGGUUAAA